rnacentral:rRNA from 1 species
GAUGAACGCUGGCGGCGUGCCUAAUACAUGCAAGUCGAGCGAAUGGAUUAAGAGCUUGCUCUUAUGAAGUUAGCGGCGGACGGGUGAGUAACACGUGGGUAACCUGCCCAUAAGACUGGGAUAACUCCGGGAAACCGGGGCUAAUACCGGAUAACAUUUUGAACCGCAUGGUUCGAAAUUGAAAGGCGGCUUCGGCUGUCACUUAUGGAUGGACCCGCGUCGCAUUAGCUAGUUGGGGAGGUAACGGCUCACCAGGGCAACGAUGCGUAGCCGACCUGGGAGGGGGAUCGGCCACACUGGGACUGGAACACGGCCCAGACUCCCACGGGAGGCAGCAGUAGGGAAUCUUCCGCAAUGGACGAAAGUCUGACGGAGCAACGCCGCGUGGGUGAUGAAGGCUUUCGGGUCGUAAAACUCUGUUGUUAGGGAAGAACAAGUGCUAGUUGAAUAAGCUGGCACCUUGACGGUACCUAACCAGAAAGCCACGGCUAACUACGUGCCAGCCGCCGCCGUAA